rnacentral:rRNA from 1 species
GACGAACGCUGGCGGCGUGCUUAACACAUGCAAGUCGAACGGAAAGGCCCUGCUUUUGUGGGGUGCUCGAGUGGCGAACGGGUGAGUAACACGUGAGUAACCUGCCCUUGACUUUGGGAUAACUUCAGGAAACUGGGGCUAAUACCGGAUAGGAGCUCCUGCUGCAUGGUGGGGGUUGGAAAGUUUCGGCGGUUGGGGAUGGACUCGCGGCUUAUCAGCUUGUUGGUGGGGUAGUGGCUUACCAAGGCUUUGACGGGUAGCCGGCCUGAGAGGGUGACCGGCCACAUUGGGACUGAGAUACGGCCCAGACUCCUACGGGAGGCAGCAGUGGGGAAUAGUGCACAAUGGGCGGAAGCCUGAUGCAGCAACGCCGCGUGCUGGAUGACGGCCUUCGGGUUGUAAACCGCUUUCGCCUGUGACGAAGCGUGAGUGACGGUAAUGGGUAGAGAAGCACCGGCUAACUACGUG